GGAUCAGCUUCUUAUCUGAGAACUCCUGAAGCACUUGACACAAGAGGUCUCCUGAAUUUCUCUUUUUAAUUUAUUUUAUUUGAAUUAAAAAAUAAUGAAACCCUCAGCUCUAGCUAUCACUUUUUUAACUUGUGCUCUCUUGGUAAUUACGGAAGGACUUCCACGCAUACAGCACCGAUGUCGGUGUACAGAAACAGUGGAUAAAGAAAUCGCUUAUAAUAGAAUUGUGACGCUGGAGAUUUUUCAGCCUGGUCCUCACUGCAAAAAUAUAGAAGUAAUCGCUACAAUAAAAUUCCGUAAAUUGUGCCUCAACCCCAAAGACGCAUGGGUUCAGAAGGCCCUCAAAAAAAGGAACCUGGCACCAUAAAAUGCUAUUGCAUUGAAGAUGGCUGAACAAGAAAAGAAAGAAGAGCUGAAGAUGCAAAAACGUCUUAACAUCCUCCGUGUUUCUUUACUCAUCAUAUGAGUAAUUAUCUAAGUGCUCACAGAGUAUUUUUAUACAGUCGCCUGUAUCUAAUAAAACCAACAGAUUUCUAUUUUUAAUUGCAACAAUUUAGGAACAUUUCAUGAAUAUUACUAAUAAAGUGUUUUCAAAAAAUCA